GAUGAAGAACGUAGCGAAAUGGGAUAAGUAAUGCGAAUUGCAGAAUUUCCGUGAGUCAUCGAAUCUUUGAACGCACAUUGCGCCCACUGGUAUUCCGGUGGGCAUGCCUGUUCGAGCGUCAUUAUCCUCCCUCAAACCCCGGGUUUGGUGUUGGACCCAAGUUGUGUGAACAACUGGUCUCAAAGACAAUGACGGCGUCCGUGGGACCCUCGGUGCAACGAGCUUUUAGGAGCACGCAUCGAGUUGCAAGGACCUUCCGGGCCGGUCUCCUUUACCAUUUUACAAGGUUGACCUCGGAUCAGGAAGGAAUACCCGCUGAACUUAAGCAUAUCAAUAAGCGGAGGA
rnacentral:misc_RNA from 1 species